GUCUAUGGGCGGGCCGUGGUAGGGGAGCCGCGAGGCUCGCCGGUGUGCGAUUCCGGUCUUCCAACCUUGUCAUGUGCCCGCUCACCCGU
rnacentral:antisense_RNA from 2 species